AACGAACGCUGGCGGCAGGCCUAACACAUGCAAGUCGAGCGCCCCGCAAGGGGAGCGGCAGACGGGUGAGUAACGCGUGGGAACGUGCCCUUUGGUUCGGAACAACUCCGGGAAACUGGAGCUAAUACCGGAUAAGCCCUUCGGGGAAAGAUUUAUCGCCAAAGGAUCGGCCCGCGUCUGAUUAGCUAGUUGGUGAGGUAAUGGCUCACCAAGGCGACGAUCAGUAGCUGGUCUGAGAGGAUGAUCAGCCACACUGGGACUGAGACACGGCCCAGACUCCUACGGGAGGCAGCAGUGGGGAAUAUUGGACAAUGGGCGCAAGCCUGAUCCAGCCAUGCCGCGUGAGUGAUGAAGGCCUUAGGGUUGUAAAGCUCUUUUGUCCGGGAAGAUAAUGACUGUACCGGAAGAAUAAGCCCCGGCUAACUUCGUG
rnacentral:rRNA from 1 species